CCUGGCUACAGGAACUGUGGGUGCCUGGUGUGUGGGUUUGUUACACCUCCCCACGAUGGGGGUCAAUUUGGAGUGGCACUGGUCUGGGCCUAAGCUGCAUAACAGGUGUGGUUGGGCAGGAGCAGCUUUGGAACUUGUGCCUGCCAUGGCAGAUUCUCUGUUUGGAUCAGUUCUGGAGAAAAAGAGGGAAAGGAAAACGAAAUGGAAGAAGUGAAGGUGGGAGACAGAAGGUGGAAGUUUAGAGGUAAGUCGGAAUCUUGUAUCAGGGAAGUACCUGUUUCUCAGGAAAGAAGAAAUGGAACUGAAACUGCUAAAAGAUCGUAACACUUUUUGGUGAU